rnacentral:rRNA from 1 species
CCCUUAGAUGUCCUGGGCCGCACGCGCGCUACACUGAGUGUCUGAGAUACGAGUCUGCCUGGUCCGGCAAGGUCUAGGUAAUCGCUAAAAGACACAUCAUGCUUGGGAUAGAUUAUUGCAAAUAUUAAUCUUGAACGAGGAAUUCCUAGUAAGCGCAAGUCAACAGCUUGCGUUUAUUACGUCCCUGCCCUUUGUACACACCGCCCGUCGCUACUACUGAUUGGAUGUUUAAGCGAGGUUCUCGAACUGCUAGCGACUUAGCUUCGGUGAGGUCGCAGUGUGGGAAGUGAACCUAGCUUUGGUGUCUAGAGGAGGUAAAAGUCGUAACA